UACGGGGGGGGCAAGCGUUGGUCGGAAUUACUGGGCGGAAAGGGCUCGUAGGCGGCCAACUAAGUCCGACGUGAAAUCCCAAGGCUUAACCUUGGAACUGCGUCGGAUACUGGAUGGCUUGAAUUCGGGAGAGGGAUGCAGAAUUCCAGGUGUAGCGGUGAAAUGCGUAGAUAUCUGGAGGAAUACCGGUGGCGAAGGCGGCAUCCUGGACCGACAUUGACGCUGAGGAGCGAAAGCUAGGGGAGCAAACGGG
rnacentral:rRNA from 1 species